CGUUCAGGGGUAAACCUGAGAAACCCAAAAGAUCGAAUGGGGAGAUUCAUCGUCAGCUCAUUUUGUAUAUGUAUGGNGUUAUGAUGCGAGUUACUCUNUGUAGUAUUGCUUGUACAUACUUAUACAUUUAUUUGCAAGGUGUUGUCGGCGUGCACUUCUCCCCUAGUAGGACGUCGCGACCCGUUGGGUGUCGGUCUACGACCCGAGUGGGAGACUUUAAUAUUUUUAUAAUAUUAAAGACCCUUGGUGUUUUCUGACCGGCUGCCCGGCGGUAUUCGUACGGUAUUUAGCCGCAAUUAUUUGNNCGUCCAUGUCUGUUGCAAGCGAGGCCAAUUUCUGGUAGUNGCGGACCUGGUGCCGUCGCUGGAAUUGGCCAGCUGUUGGUUGUACGGAAUUCUAGGACUGGCUAACAAUAAUUACCGGUCGGCGAUGCUACUGCUUUGGGUACUUUCAGGACCCGUCUUGAAACACGGACCAAGGAGUCUAACAUGUGCG
rnacentral:rRNA from 1 species